rnacentral:tRNA from 1 species
GUCGUUGUAGUAUAGUGGUAAGUAUUCCCGCCGGUCACGCGGAUGACGCGGGUUCGUCCCCGGCAACGGCG